GAAAUGGGUAAAUGGAUUAUAGAAGUGAAGAGAAAGUAUUAAUUUAUUGCAUAUCAAUUUGAAUCUAAUGUUGCACCUAAGAAAUAGAGCGACAAUACUUUAUCGUAAAAAUAAUACAAAAUUAGUACGAUCAUCCAAUAACAGAAACGAUAGUGGAUACAGGGGCGGAUCUAGGGGGUGGACUACCCGGGCCUCAGCCCACCCCAUGAUCCACAAUAUCUAUAAGUAACCUAUAUGAGAUAGUAAUGUAAAUAGGUAUAGUGGAGUAGGUGGUUGGAGCGCGAGUAUACUAGGCAUCAAGUCACAAGUUCGAUUAUAAAGACAUUUGUUUUUGGUUUUUUCAAUUAAUCAAUAAGUUCGGUCCUCCCUAUAUUAAAAUCCUAGAUCCGUCACUGAGUGGAUAAACUAAUAAAUGACAACUCAAAAAGGAAAACGGAACAUAAACUAAUUCUUUUGGCAAAUUUUGAAGUUUCAACUAUGGUGUGCUUGAACCAUGACGUCUAUUAUCUAUAUAUAAUGUAUACAUCUAUACUUGAUUUCAAACAAGUUAUAAACAAGACCAAGAAAAAAUGGAGAAGAAAUUCUUUUGGCUUUCGGUUUUGCUUCUCUUCUUACUCACUUCAGAGAUGAAUAUGGUGGUGGAAGUUGAUGGCAAAACUUGCGCAAAACCAAGUAAGUACUACAAAGGCGGUUGCUUUUCUACCAUAUCAGUUUCGGCUUGUAAGAAGACUUGUAGCCGAGAGAAUUGGCCUGAUGGUGAUUGUGUAUUCCCGUAUAGAUGUGAAUGUCGAAGGCCUUGUUGAGCUAUGCAUGCUCCUCAUCUAUGAACUAUGAAGUGUGUAUUAUAUAAGUCUCUUUUGAGUUGUACGAUAAUUUUCAGUUAGUUGUUAAGUAAAGAUUUCCAUAUAAAUCUAAGUACCUCCUUUGUUUUGUUGAUCUCCUCCAUUGUUGAAUAUUCAUCAAUAAACUUUUAUUUUAAGUUAC